UGGUGAGAGAGCUCGGGCUCCAGAUCUCCAUCGGAAUGCAGAAAAGAUCUUUAAGAAGAAAAAAAAGAAGUUUGAAUUGCUGAAUGAUUUUUCCUGUAGAAAGGAGUUUAGGAUAAUGAUUUGAGCUUUAUUGAGGGCAGAUUAGUCGCAGUGUCGCUGCAGCCUCUCAAUACGCGCAGUACAAGUCUCUACAAUGUGC
rfam:Xenopus laevis strain J chromosome 5L, whole genome shotgun sequence.